UUGAAUUCAGGACCUCUGGAAGAACAGUCGGUGCUCUUAACCUCUGAGCCAUCUCUCCAGCCCAAAUAAAUACAUUUUUAAAAUAGCAUUUUAAAAAGAGAAAAAAGAGCAACUUCAAAAUGAUAAAAUAACAAUUCCAGCAAAGAUAACUUUAUUCCAUCCCAAAUGAGACACAGAUGACAGAUUCUUCACUUUCCUGUGCAUUCUUUGAGCCAAACAUGCUAAUGAAUGAGUUAAGAGGUCCAGCCUUUCCCACACAGCUGCCCCUAAGAAGCCGUAUUCGCUCGCUCCUUUCUCAGAAGCUCCAGUGUGCUGAGCUCAAAAGCCUACGUGGUUUGUUCCCAGGAACACAAAGGGAAGGUUCCAUCUCCGCCGUCCUCGAAGGCAGAAUUAAUUCACUAACAAACCACCACGAUGGCAUGAAUAAAACAUAUCCAGCGACAACAAAGACAAAGUGAAAUGUUUUUCAGCAGGAAGUGGCAGCAGUGUAGGAGGGAACAGAAGAUAAAUCAGGUGCAGAAAUCCACAGGCCACACUGGGAGGAUGAAACUGAAGCCCAGACAAUGAUGAGUCAAUGAUUAGAUGUGCACAUUCUUCGUCCAGGACCCUGAAGAUAGACUUGGGGGUUUGUUGUAUCUCUUUGUUCUUCUUCCUGGGAAGGUUGCCAGUCCAUAGUGCGAAUGUGGAAGUCCAACGACAACUUGCAGGAGUCAAUCUCUCCUUCCGCUACGUGGGCUCCAGGAAUCCAGUUGUCAGGAAAUGCCCUGUGCAGAAGUGGCACCCGAGUCUGCCCAUACCGGACUCCAUGCUCUCUCUACUCACUCUCCCGUUAGCAGGAUCCAUUGGGAGCCUCCUAAGGGUAGGCUCCUGGCACCAGACAACGACAGGAGUCCGAGGACAGGAGGGACCAAACAGGAGGCAAGGAAGGCAGCCAGGAAGUUCUUGGUUUUUCAGAGCCACCUCUGCAGAUGAUUGCUGUGUUAACUGUCUAGGUAUCUUGAUUGACUUUGUUUUUUUUCGGCCAAUGAAGGUGUUAAAAGACAGGAAGAACCUUAGGCACCAAAGGCAACAAACUAUUAAAAUCAGGAAGCACACACAGAGAUGGACAGACUCCCCACAAGUGGACAAGGGAUUUAGAAACCUAAAGCCAAGGGCCUGGGUCUUUAAGUGCCUUUUGGUAUAAGGCAGGUCUCCCCCUCUUAAUUUGGAUUGGGCAACUUAGACAAAGAAAAGGGAUCUGGUACGUCUGCAGUUUUAUGUGAGCUAAGACUCUCCUGGGCUGACCUUGGGCACGUUGUGGCCCAUCAGGAGGAAGGGGGUCCCUGCCAAUGCCACUUGGUUUUGAGUGAAGAAGAAGCUAGAAGGUGGCCAAGUUGUUUACCCUUGGUCUCUUCCCUGUCUGUCUGCCUGUCAGGGUGCUUAUCUACAUUCAGCAGUAUGUUCCAUGGCCCGGGGCAGUCAACAAACACUUUUACAAGUUAGUCUGCUCGGGGCUUUGUGAAUGAAGAAUGCCACCAUCCCUAAGAAACUUGCCCUGUUAGCCACAGACCCAAAGGACAGCAGAUUCUACACACUUUAUCAGAAUAAUGCCAUUCCAUUCUUAACAUCUUUGACAUAGGACCUUACUGACAGGAGACACUCAGGCAGUAUCUAUUGAGUGCUUGAAUAGAUGUUGGGAUUUUAUUUACAUCAGAAUGCUUCAUAGUGUGAAUCGUACAUUCAAACUAAGCUUUGAGCAGGGAAUACGUUUUAAGGUUAGUAGUCAUGACAAAUAUAGAAGUUGGCAGUUUGGUCUGCCCUGAAUUCUACUGCCCAUUCCAGGGUUGGCUACGCCUAUUGUUCUAGGCCAUAUAUCUUUCAACAUGGAUUCCUCCAUCAUUAACAAUAAAUUGGAAUGACAGUCCGGUAAAGCCUAGUUAACAUCUGUCUGUCACAAAGGAAAUGCAAUGCCUGCCAGCCCAUUGUUUGGAAGCAUCAGGUGAAUGGCUCAAGGUCAGAGGUGAGGAGGUUAGGGUUGCUCUCCAUCUGGGAUGGGCUAGGCAGGAGUGGGGAGCUUCCUCCCUCGAGGUGGGUUACUCACAGGGGUGUUGAUUUCCUGGGGCAUCUGGGACAGAUGGCAACAGAUUGGAUGGGUGGAAAUAACAGGAGCUUUUUCUCUCCCAUUUCCGGAGGAUUUGCACCUGUAAUCAGGAGUGGGCAGAACAAGGGCUCUAGGGACAUGGUCCAGCCUCCUCUAGCUCCUGGUGGCUCCAGGCAAGAGUUAGCUUGUGGCAGCUCUCAUCCUUUCCUGGCAUGCGAUAUCUUUCUCAAGCACUAUUCUCUUUGUAUUUCGAAACAAGGAAGCCUGUUCAGCCUGGAGCCAACAAGCCCCAGGAAUCCCCUAGUUUUCGCCCGCUCCUCCCUCUCCCCACAGUGCUGGCACUACAGGUGCUCACUACUAUGCCUGACUUUGUCUGUUUGUUUUGUUUAAUUUCAUACAUGAGUACCGUAUUUACAUCAUUUCUGCCCCCUCUCCAAAUUAUUCCGUGCCCCACUCUGUUCCCUUUUAAAUUCAUGACCUUGUCUUCUAUAAUGAUUAUUGUUACAUUUAUACACAUAACCUAGGGAGUCCAUUGAGUGUUAUUUGUGUGUACUGUACUAUUUAGUAUAUGCAAACCUAGAGAGUCCAUUUAGUGUUGUUUGUGUGUAUAAUUUAGGGUUGACCACUUAGGAUUAGACAACCUAUCAGAGGACUUAUCCCUGGAAGAAAAUCUAUCUGUGAGAAUAUGGAUCAAUGCUCAGAACACAGUUAAAGGCUGUAUUGAUUUAGGAAAAUGGCAUUAGUAUUUUCUCCUUUAGUGCCUAUGACCUCUGCAGUCAUGGGUAAUCAGUCAGGUUUACAGUACCAGGCAUGAAUUUGCUCCCAUUGAGCAGGUCUUACGUUCAGUUACACAGCUGUGUGUUACACCCAGAACGUAAGAACAUUACUGCACCACUGGAUCUAUCUUGCUAGGCCAGUCGUUACUGGGGUUUGUAGGUUUUGCAGCUGGAUGGGACUACUGUUUGCUCUCCCUUGGCAGCUUACAUGGCACUUUCUGAUUUCCUGAGAGCUAGUCCUCAGAAAGGAGGCUUCCAGGUCAGUUCCAGCUUGAUUCCUCCAUGUCCUGUGUCUGUAAUGUGUGGUGUCUUUAACAAUAGGGUCUUUUUAAGUGAAAAGAGACAACCAAGAGCAAUGUCAUUAUCCCGUAUUGUUUUGGGAGUCUCUUGAAUCACCUUGACUAACAAUUGAAAGGAAGGUUUCCCAUGCCUGGCACA